UUUAACAUCAUUUAUAUGGAUUUGUUAGACAAAUUCGUACAUAGUUAAUUUUUGCAUUGUAUGUUUAUUCUUAAAUCUAAAAUUGAUUAUUCAGAAAAACUGAAAUGGUGCAUAGUGUACCAUGGUAGGUACUAAAUGAACCAGUCUUAUGUCCACAAUGCACCAUGUAGGUACUCAAUGCACCACCAACUAACAUUUAUAAAUAAAACAAGCAUUUCAAGUGAUACUGAAUUUUAUUCAAAUGGGAAUACAUUGUAUCUUUAAGAAUAAAAACAAAAAUAGUUCAUUUAACACUUAUAAAAUAUAUAAAAAAUUAAUAAUAACAAAAAAUGUAAAUAAAUUAAAUAUUUCUCUUCAAGAGAUUUAAAAAAAAAAAACAGCCAAAAAAUUCAUUAAUAUCCGUUAAACGGAUAAUAGAUUAACAUAUGUUUAGUUUGAAAACAUAUUCAGAAAAUUUGUACAGUGAUUGUUGUCCUGAUACAGAAGGAUCUUUAAGAAUAUAUUUUAUCUCCCCCUCAUUGACUAGUGCAAAAUCUGGGCCUUGUGGCAUACAAAAAAGCUCAUUAGCCUUUGAUUUUAGUCUCAAAAAUGAAAUGAACCAUUCGUUACUACUGUUUUUAGGUUCUAAUAUUUUUCCAAUAUAGCAAACUUUGGAUUUUUUUGACUUAUAAGUCACUAAUACAAAAUCAUUUACAGAAGGAGAUCGAAUUAAUGGACGUUCAAUAGUCUUAUAGUCUAAAAUAACUGAAUCAUUUGUUAAAAUAUCAUCUUCAGAUAAUUUAAAAUUGUCCUCUGAGUCAUCAAGUGGUAAUGAGACAUCAGUUUCGCUAUCACUUUCCUUAACUAUUUCAUUUUUCUCGUGAGUGUCUAUAGCAAUAAUGCUUCUACCAGCCAGCGGUGCGCUUCCUGGGCUUACGAGGACCAGCUUUCAUUUGUGGUCUAAAAUCAAAUGGGCUUAAAAAAGGCAAUCUUUGGCAGUGAUGCCAUAAAAAAUACUUGCACAGUAGUCAAUGUAUUGUUUAAGUGAUGUUUCCUGUUCCUCAGUAAAAAUCAUUAAAUGCUGGUAAUUUGGAGUCAAGCGGAUGUCGGAAAGAGGAUCCGAAUUCAUUGAUUUUAAAAAAUAUCUUCGUACUGUGUGGUACGAAAGCUUGCAUUCCUUUGCAGCCUUUCGAAUCGACAUUCCGGCAUCGAUAUUCAAGAGACCUUGUUUCAUCUCAUCCCUUGUGUGGAAUCCCUUCUUCCUAUUCGAAACUGGCUUCCUUGGUAUCUAAAACAAAAUUAGAAAAAUCUGAGUAAAUUUUCUAGACAAGUGGGUGCAAAAUGCACCAUGGUGCAUUUAAUACCAUGUUGUUGUGGUGCAUAGUGCACUACCCCCUCACUUUAUUUUGAAGUCAAAAUAAAUCGCUAUCUACCCAAUUAUA